rnacentral:siRNA from 1 species
CUGGAUGUCUUAAGGUCACGACAU